rnacentral:rRNA from 1 species
AUGAACGCUGGCGGCGUGCCUAAUACAUGCAAGUCGAGCGAACAGACGAGAGUGCUUGCACUCUCUGACGUUAGCGGCGGACGGGUGAGUAACACGUGGGUAACCUACCUAUAAGACUGGGAUAACUUCGGGAAACCGGAGCUAAUACCGGAUAAUAUUUAGCUUCGCAUGAAGCAAUAGUGAAAGACGGUUCUGCUGUCACUUAUAGAUGGACCCGCGGUGUAUUAGCUAGUUGGUGAGGUAACGGCUCACCAAGGCAACGAUACAUAGCCGACCUGAGAGGGUGAUCGGCCACACUGGGACUGAGACACGGCCCAGACUCCUACGGGAGGCAGCAGUAGGGAAUCUUCCGCAAAGGACGAAAGUCUGACGGAGCAAUGCCGCGUGAGUGAAGAAGGUUUUCGGAUCGUAAAACUCUGUUGUAAGGGAAGAACAAGUACGUUAGUAACUGAACGUACCUUGACGGUACCUUACCAGAAAGCCACGGCUAACUACGUG